rnacentral:pre_miRNA from 11 species
GACCGCAUGGGAUAAUCGAUUAUCCCGUGCGGUCCAAUAAGGCCCACCGUAUAACGACCGCAUGGGAUAAUCGAUUAUCCCGUGCGGUC